AUUUGGAAUUGUGCCUGCUAUUAUUCAAACGCCUAGUCGAGGCACCAAAUGUUGGGGUGUGGAUUUCCAGCUAGGAUCAGAUGUUCCAGAUCCUGGGAUGGUUAACGAAGGCACAAAAUGUGGUGCUGGAAAGAUCUGUAGAAACUUCCAGUGUGUAGAUGCUUCUGUUCUGAAUUAUGACUGUGAUGUUCAGAAAAAGUGUCAUGGACAUGGGGUAUGUAAUAGCAAUAAGAAUUGUCACUGUGAAAAUGGCUGGGCUCCCCCAAAUUGUGAGACUAAAGGAUACGGAGGAAGUGUGGACAGUGGACCUACAUACAAUGAAAUGAAUACUGCAUUGAGGGACGGACUUCUGGUCUUCUUCUUCCUAAUUGUUCCCCUUAUUGUCUGUGCUAUUUUUAUCUUCAUCAAGAGGGAUCAACUGUGGAGAAGCUACUUCAGAAAGAAGAGAUCACAAACAUAUGAGUCAGAUGGCAAAAAUCAAGCAAACCCUUCUAGACAGCCGGGGAGUGUUCCUCGACAUGUUUCUCCAGUGACACCUCCCAGAGAAGUUCCUAUAUAUGCAAACAGAUUUGCAGUACCAACCUAUGCAGCCAAGCAACCUCAGCAGUUCCCAUCAAGGCCACCUCCACCACAACCGAAAGUAUCAUCUCAGGGAAACUUAAUUCCUGCCCGUCCUGCUCCUGCACCUCCUUUAUAUAGUUCCCUCACUUGAUUUUUUUAACCUUCUUUUUGCAAAUGUCUUCAGGGAACUGAGCUAAUACUUUUUUUUUUUCUUGAUGUUUUCUUGAAAAGCCUUUCUGUUGCAACUAUGAAUGAAAACAAAACACCACAAAACAGACUUCACUAACACAGAAAAACAGAAACUGAGUGUGAGAGUUGUGAAAUACAAGGAAAUGCAGUAAAGCCAGGGAAUUUACAAUAACAUUUCCGUUUCCAUCAUUGAAUAAGUCUUAUUCAGUCAUCGGUGAGGUUAAUGCACUAAUCAUGGAUUUUUUGAACAUGUUAUUGCAGUGAUUCUCAAAUUAACUGUAUUGGUGUAAGAGUUUUGUCAUUAAGUGUUUAAGUGUUAUUCUGAAUUUUCUACCUUAGUUAUCAUUAAUGUAGUUCCUCAUUGAACAUGUGAUAAUCUAAUACCUGUGAAAACUGACUAAUCAGCUGCCAAUAAUAUCUAAUAUUUUUCAUCAUGCACGAAUUAAUAAUCAUCAUACUCUAGAAUCUUGUCUGUCACUCACUACAUGAAUAAGCAAAUAUUGUCUUCAAAAGAAUGCACAAGAACCACAAUUAAGAUGUCAUAUUAUUUUGAAAGUACAAAAUAUACUAAAAGAGUGUGUGUGUAUUCACGCAGUUACUCGCUUCCAUUUUUAUGACCUUUCAACUAUAGGUAAUAACUCUUAGAGAAAUUAAUUUAAUAUUAGAAUUUCUAUUAUGAAUCAUGUGAAAGCAUGACAUUCGUUCACAAUAGCACUAUUUUAAAUAAAUUAUAAGCUUUAAGGUACGAAGUAUUUAAUAGAUCUAAUCAAAUAUGUUGAUUCAUGGCUAUAAUAAAGCAGGAGCAAUUAUAAAAUCUUCAAUCAAUUGAACUUUUACAAAACCACUUGAGAAUUUCAUGAGCACUUUAAAAUCUGAACUUUCAAAGCUUGCUAUUAAAUCAUUUAGAAUGUUUACAUUUACUAAGGUGUGCUGGGUCAUGUAAAAUAUUAGACACUAAUAUUUUCAUAGAAAUUAGGCUGGAGAAAGAAGGAAGAAAUGGUUUUCUUAAAUACCUACAAAAAAGUUACUGUGGUAUCUAUGAGUUAUCAUCUUAGCUGUGUUAAAAAUGAAUUUUUACUAUGGCAGAUAUGGUAUGGAUCGUAAAAUUUUAAGCACUAAAAAUUUUUUCAUAACCUUUCAUAAUAAAGUUUAAUAAUAGGUUUAUUAACUGAAUUUCAUUAGUUUUUUAAAAGUGUUUUUGGUUUGUGUAUAUAUACAUAUACAAAUACAACAUUUACAAUAAAUAAAAUACUUGAAAUUC
rnacentral:lncRNA from 1 species